GGAAGUAAAAGUCGUAACAAGGUUUCCGUAGGUGAACCUGCGGAAGGAUCAUUACUGAGUUAGGGUCUUCUCUGGCCCGACCUCCAACCCUGUGUCUACCUUACCACGUUGCUUCGGCGGGCCUGCCGACAGGAUCUGUCGGCUGCCGGUGGGCUCAACCCCCGCUGGACAGUGCCCGUCGAUGGCCAACCUCCAAACUUCUUGAAGAACCAUGUCGUCUGAGUACCAAAUUAAAUAAAAGUAAAAACUUUCAACAACGGAUCUCUUGGUUCUGGCAUCGAUGAAGAACGCAGCGAAAUGCGAUAAGUAAUGUGAAUUGCAGAAUUCAGUGAAUCAUCGAAUCUUUGAACGCACAUUGCGCCCUCUGGUAUUCCGGAGGGCAUGCCUGUUCGAGCGUCAUAAUGACCAACUCACCAUAAUGGUGGUCUUGGGGAUGGCUAACUAGCCUCCCUUAAAAUCAGUGGCGGUGCUGUCAAGCUCUAAGCGUAGUAAUUUUCUCGCUAUAGCGUCUUGAUGGUGACUUGCCAUAACCCCAACUCUUUAAGGUUGACCUCGGAUCAGGUAGGGAUACCCGCUGAACUUAAGCAUAUCAAUAAGCGGAGGA
rnacentral:rRNA from 1 species